AGAGGGAGUGAGUGGCCUUAGCGCGGGAAGGACUGGGUAGCUCAUUUACUUAUUUUCAGGGGUCCGUUACUGCAGCGAACCGUCAGGACCGACAGGAUGUGUGCUGGUCAUUUUCCAAGCACACCAAGUCCCGAGGCAGAUUCGAUUGUUUCACAUCAUACUAUCAAUCUCUCUUCCUACCAUGCUGUGCAAUAGAGAUCAUUGGUUGGUAAUCCUCAAAAACAAACCUGAGCCCUAGGACCAUACGUCAGGACUACCGGGCAUGCUGACACCUUGCUGUCCCCAGUCCGCCCGGCCUUGCUGCUAUUCCAGUUUCAACUGUUUCUGCCUGCGGUUACGAAACCCCUACCUGUCCCAGACCUGCUGUUUUCAACUCUUAAUGAUCGGCUAUGAAAAGCCAACUGAGAUUUAUUCCUGAUUAUUAUUUGACCAUGCUUGUCAUUUAUGAACAUUUUGAAAAUCUUGGCUCUCUCUAAUUUUCUGCUUCUCUCUUUCUCUCGGAGGACCUGAGCCCUAGGACCAUACGUCGGGACUACCGGCCGUGGUGACUCCUUGCUGCCCCCAGUCCGCCUGGCCUUGCUGCUAUUCCAGUUUCAACUCUUCUGCCUGCGGUUAUGGAACCCCUACCUGUCCCAGACCUGCUGUUUUCAACUCUUAAUGAUCGGCUAUGAAAAGCCAACUGAGAUUUAUUCCUGAUUAUUAUUUGACCAUGCUUGUCAUUUAUGAACAUUUUGAAAAUCUUGGCUCUCUCUAAUUUUCUCCUUCUCUCUUUCUUUCUCUCGGAGGACCUGGGCCCUGGACCAUGCGUCGGGACUGCCGCCCGUGGUGACUCCUUGCUGUCCCCAGUCCGCCUGGCCUUGCUGCUAUUCCAGUUUCAGCUGUUCUGCCUGCGGUUAUGGAACCGCCACCUGUCCCAGACCUGUUGUUUUUCAACUCUUAAUGAUCAGCUAUGAAAAGCCAACUGAAAAUUAUUCAUGAUUAUUAUUUGACCAUGCUUGUCACUUAUGAACAUUUUUGAACAUCUUGGCAUAGUUCUGUUAUAAUCUCCACCCGGCACAGCCAGAAGAGGACUGGCCACCCCUCAUAGCCUGGUUCCUCUCUAGGUUUCUUCCUAGGUUUUGGCCUUUCUAGGGAGUUUUUCCUAGCCACCGUGCUUCUACACCUGCAUUCUAGCUGUUUGGGGUUUUAGGCUGGGUUUCUGUACAGCACUUCGAGAUAUUAUCUGAUGUACGAAGGGCUAUAUAAAAUAAAAUUGAUUGAUUGAUUGUUUGUGCCUUUGUGAGGUAUUGUUCAUUUUGACUCUACUAAGCCUUUUCCUAGCUCGUUUGUGAGAACCAGUUAUAGCCUUCAGUCCUAGUUUUGAUUCACCUGCCUGUUUGCCUACCUGUGUAUGACCGUUGCCUGUCUGUAACCACAAUUCGUGCCUUCUGCGAAGGCGAAAUAAACACCUGCCGUGCUCUGAGCGUGAAUUUA